CUACGUGCCAGCAGCCGCGGUAAUACGUAGGGUGCGAGCGUUAAUCGGAAUUACUGGGCGUAAAGCGAGCGCAGACGGUUACUUAAGCAGGAUGUGAAAUCCCCGGGCUCAACCUGGGAACUGCGUUCUGAACUGGGUGACUAGAGUGUGUCAGAGGGAGGUAGAAUUCCACGUGUAGCAGUGAAAUGCGUAGAGAUGUGGAGGAGUACCGAUGGCGAAGGCAGCCUCCUGGGAUAACACUGACGUUCAUGCUCGAAAGCGUGGGUAGCAAACAGGAUUAGAUACCCUGGUAGUCCACGCCCUAAACGAUGUCGAUUAGCUGUUGGGCAGCAUGACUGCUUAGUAGCGAAGCUAACGCGUGAAAUCGACCGCCUGGGGAGUACGGUCGCAAGAUUAAAACUCAAAGGAAUUGACGGGGACCCGCACAAGCGGUGGAUGAUGUGGAUUAAUUCGAUGCAACGCGAAGAACCUUACCUGGUCUUGACAU
rnacentral:rRNA from 1 species